GGCCGACUAGCUCAGCUGGUUAGAGCGUCGUGCUAAUAUUCAGGCUAAGCCUGGUAUUACGCGAAGGUCUUGGGUUCGAUCCCCACGUUGGCCA